GGUGGCUCAGUGGUAGGGUGCUUGCCUUGCAUGCAGGAGACCCUGGGUUCGAUUCCUCAGCACCA
rnacentral:tRNA from 1 species